ACGUAGGGUGCGAGCGUUAAUCGGAAUUACUGGGCGUAAAGCGUGCGCAGGCGGUUUUGUAAGACAGAUGUGAAAUCCCCGGGCUCAACCUGGGAACUGCAUUUGUGACUGCAUGACUCGAGUACGGCAGAGGGGGAUGGAAUUCCGCGUGUAGCAGUGAAAUGCGUAGAUAUGCGGAGGAACACCGAUGGCGAAGGCAAUCCCCUGGGCCUGUACUGACGCUCAUGCACGAAAGCGUGGGGAGCAAACAGG
rnacentral:rRNA from 1 species